rnacentral:misc_RNA from 1 species
AAGAGGUGUGGGUGAAGAACGUGGACGAAGGAGGAGAGGAUGAUGGAGCAGUAGAAGACGAUGGCGAGGGUGGCGAAGACGGACUGCGACGAAGAGGUUCGUUAGCUCUGAUCGUCGGGAAGUCACGGAGCGUACUCACCAGGAUGACCCGGACGCGCAACUUCUCCCUAUCCCAAACACCCCGAAUCCCCAGGUCGCCAACCAGCCCACCCAGAUCAUCCUGCUCAGCCACUUCGCCGUCUCGGCUUGCGGGAAGAUCGACACCACGAGAGCGCCGAGGGUGAGGAGGGAGAGGGUGA